rnacentral:misc_RNA from 1 species
UGGCAAACUCCGUGCGCUGCGAUGCACUAUGUGUGUCGGAACUGCUCGUNGGAUGUUUGCCGGUUCUCACGGAUAUCAGUCCCUACGUUGAGCGGUNUGCGGGCUUCAAGCCUGCAGCCUCAUGGUGCUGCCCAUGCGCAUGAAUCUGUUGCCGAUGUUUGCUCGAUGUGUUGAGCCCUUUCGGGAUCCAUGUUGAGGAAACGCCGGAAGUAGAUUUAUGUGUACGUGCAUAUCCUCACCGACCCGAACGACACGCGAUUGCCCGUCUGCAUUGUCACGGGGCG